rnacentral:rRNA from 1 species
UACGGGAGGCAGCAGUGAGGAAUAUUGCGCAAUGGGGGCAACCCUGACGCAGCGACGCCGCGUGAGUGAGGAAGGUCUUCGGAUCGUAAAGCUCUGUCGAGAGGGAAGAAGUGCGGGGAGGUUAAUACCCUUUUCGUUUGACGGUACCUCUAAAGGAAGCACCGGCUAACUCCGUGCCAGCAGCCGCGGUAAU